GCGUUUUCGGGCCAAAAAUGUGAAACGUCUAUGCGGGGAAAUCAGUUCAAUGGACUGAUUUCUGACCUCGCUUCGCACUUUUGCCCAUACCAAACCAAAAGUUAAUUCGUCGCUACAGCCUGCGAUAGGCGAUGUCAGGGGUUUACAUAAGAAAAUGCCGGGUGCAAUAAACCGGCUUCA
rnacentral:misc_RNA from 1 species